rnacentral:rRNA from 1 species
CGCGUAGGCGGUGAUAUGUGUGUGAUGUGAAAGCCCCGGGCUUAACCUGGGAAGUGCAUCGCAAACUGUAUGACUGGAGUAUAUGAGAGGGUGGCGGAAUUUCCGGUGUAGCGGUGAAAUGCGUAGAGAUCGGAAGGAACGUCGAUGGCGAAGGCAGCCACCUGGCAUAAUACUGACGCUGAGGCGCGAAAGCGUGGGGAGCGAACA